GAGUUAUUGGAGGAACUCACAAGUGGUACAGAGUCUGAGACUAAAGAGUUUAUGCGGGUCUGUAUGAAGACAGUGAAGAAAUAUCCUUGUGAUGAUUACAGAUCUCCAGUGUUCAUCUUUGAGAGGCUCUGUAGUAUUAUUUUCCCUGAGGAAAAUGAUGUAGAAGAAUUUCUUCUUCUCCUUAAGAAGGACCCAAACAAGAAGACUUCCUGCAGGGAAGGUUGCUGGGUAAUCCAUACAGCUGUAAUGAGCCAGGUCUGGGGCCUCUGAUGAGGGAUGUCAAGAACAAAAUCUCUCAAGAUUGUGAACUUGUUGCCCUUCUUUAAGAUGACAAUGGAAUGGAGAUUUGUGACAGGGCCAUUCGUUUCGACUCAUCUAGUUUUUAGGUAAAGAUUGCAUGAAAUGCAAUGAAAACCUUGUGGGACUGACUUGAUAUCUAAAUCUUCCAAGACCUUUUUUGAUCCACAAAAUAUAGUGCAUUGAUCAUAACAUUCUAUAUAUACAUACUCACUGUGUAUCAUCGCCACCAGAAAUUGGGUACUAACGAAGCGGAGAGAAAUGGAAAAAAAAGUAAACAAGGGGUUAGGGAGGAUGACAACUGUUACUUUACCCGUCUAUAACAAGACUGACAAUGCUGAUCGUCAGGCUAAUCAAACCAUGCUAGGAGUGAUGGGAACAGAUGUAACUACUGCUCAGAUGGAGAAGUAUACUCCUGUAUGGAAGCUUUGCCCAAAUGGAUACAGCUUUGCUAUUAAUGCCAAUGGUUAUGUGAUGUUCCAUCCUAAGUUCAGAGUUCAUGAUGAUUUUAAAGACCCACCAAAUAUGGAUUUCUUGGAUAUUGAAGUAGAAAAUAAGGAGAAGGAAGAGGUAAACAAUUUUUAAGUUAGGAUUAAAGAACUUUACAUAGUCUUUACUAAUAAAUAUAUAUUGACUAAUACUGACCUUGCUAGGGAUGUAUAUCCAGUCAAGGUCGUUAAACACUUCCAUCAUCAUCAGAUAUUGACUGAAACUCAACUAAUCUAUAUUGACUGAAACUCAACUAAUCUAUAUUGACUGAAACGUAACUUAUCAAUAUUGACUGAAACUUUACUUAUCAAUAUUGACUGAAACUUUACUUAUCAAUAUUGACUGAAACUCAACUAAUCUAUAUUAACUGAAACUCAACUAAUCUAUAUUGACUGAAACUUUUCUUAUCAAUAUUGACUGAAACUUUACUUAUCAAUAUUGACUGAAACUUUACUUAUCAAUAUUGACUGAAACUCAACUAAUCUAAUAUAUUGACUGAAACUUUACUUAUCAAUAUUGACUGAAACUUUACUUAUCAAUAUUGACUGAAACUCAACUAAUCUAAUAUAUUGACUGAAACUUUACUUAUCAAUAUUGACUGAAACUUUACUUAUCAAUAUUGACUGAAACUAAACUAAUCUAUAUUGACUGAAACUCAACUAAUCUAUAUUGACUGAAACUUUACUUAUCAAUAUUGACUGAAACUCAACUAAUCUAAUAUAUUGACUGAAACUUUACUUAUCAAUAUUGACUGAAACUUUACUUAUCAAUAUUGACUGAAACUUUACUUAUCAAUAUUGACUGAAACUUUACUUAUCAAUAUUGACUGAAACUUUACAAAUCAAAGUUGACUGAUACUUUACUAAUCGGUUAUGACUGAAACUUUACUAAUCAAAAUUGACAGAUACUUUACUAAUCAGUAAUGACUGAGAGCAUAAAAUGAGGUCUGUGUGGUUAUUAAGAUUAAUGAAACCUAUUUUAAUUGACAAAUAGACUUGGUUUUUGUUUGUUUUAUCCUUCAGAUGAAAAUGAAACCUAGUCAAUGUAAUUUUUAAUACAAAAAAUUAAAGUCACAUGACUGGAUCUUAACAAAUAUGAAAAAAAAAUCAGUUUUAUCAGUUUGAUAUAAAAAAAGAUUUAAUAAAAUAUGAAGCUUCACUAUCUAUCUAUACACUAACAGUUACAUACUGGUAAGAUACAAGUAUAUUAUUCGAUAUUGAAGUAGAAAAUAAGGAGAAGGAAGAGGUACACGUGGUAAUCAAAGAUUCAUUUUAGAAGAAAGAAAAAAUUAUAGUAGAAAAAAACUAUUUUAAAGGUAAAAAAAUCUACUGCAAUAUUUAAAAAUUGUUCUAUAUUUUUAAAUACACGUCUUAUUGCAAAAAGUCAGUAUUAUACCUCGACAAUUUUAAUGAUUUAAUAUAGAAUGCUUUAUGAAGCUCAUUUAAUUAUCCAAUAUAUGAAAAUAGGAACCGUUUAACAAUGGAUUGUGGGCAUUUAUUUAAUCAUAUAUGCAUGGUCAUUUUGUAUUUUAACAUCUAACAUGUAUUAUUUAUAAAGUAUGUCUUGUAUUAAAGACUAAAUCAGUUGGGAACCAGGUAUAGUUUGCAUUUUAACAAUAAAACAUCUUCAAAAAAGAAAAUGAAUGAAAUCAGAGCACAAAUAUUCAGUAAAUGUUCAGCUGAUUUUUAGAAUCUAUGUCUCUAUAGUCACUCAAGUUAGUGCUUUUGAAAUAGAAAAAAAGAAAAAAACAGAGUUCCAUGUUCAGCUUCACAAGCCAUUUAGUGUGGUUUUUUCACUUGAUUUGGUUAAUUAUAAAGGCGAUAAGAUAAAAAUCUGGCAGGGAUUGGUAGAAGGGGAAAAUGCUUUAGACAGGAUGAAAAAGUUCAGUGUCAGAUUUUAAUAAAAUAUCUAAUCUACCUUUCUUUUCCUAAGAAUUUAGAAGCUAUAAUUUGAAGACUAACAAUCACUGACUUCAAACUUUGAAAUCAUUCACAAAUGCACGUUCAAACUUCUUUCAUCAUCUCUUCCACAUUUCACAAUCUCAUCUUUGUUGACUGCUAAAUACAUGUGUUUGAGGAAAUAUUUUGUUAAAAAAAAAUAUAAACCAACUUUUUAUUUUCGUAUUUAGGGAAAAGUAGGCUAGACUAAAAUAUCAUGUUUUAAAUAUAUGAUAAAUUCAUUUUCUAAAAGCUUAGAGGUUUAUAAAGAUCGUUAUUACAACAUGAUAUUUAGCUUUCUCCUUGCCAAAAUGUUGUUUGCAGUAUGACCGACAAAUAAAGUUUGAAAAAAUUGAGUUGGUUUGUAUUUCUAUUAUUCUUUUUUUUAAACAAAUAAAUUUGCAUUCAUUAUAAGAUUUUUACCAUUUAACUGCGAUCAUCCAAAAUAUAUUCUAUCUGUGUUAGUUUAAUUUUAGCCAUGUGUUAUGGACAAAAGAAUAGUCCUUGUAUGUCUUUAUACAUAACAUUCAGGUAAAUAACGUGUUAAAACAGAACCAAUAUGAGAGAUUGAAAUAGACCUUACAAUUGUGCAUUAUGAUAGAAAAAUAAGAUCCAGCACUUUUAUAUAUUGAAUGAAAUAUACUUUUUUUUUGGACAAAAUUAUUGAACAGCUACCACUGUACAUUUAUUUUAGAACAGCAUAUAUUGGAAGGUGACUGUUUUGGUUAUUUUAUAUCAAAUUAUCCAAUCAUUAAUAUCUUAUGUUACUUAAACCUUAUUUUACAGUGGCUAAUAAUUUUUUUCUGCAUGGCAAUUUCUGCAUACAUGAAGUAUGUUCAUUUUUAUAUGACAUCAAUCUGAAAUUUCUUUUUAAUUGAAAUUUCUAUGGAUUUUACAAAAGUGGUUUGAAGUAAUGCAGAAAGUAUGAUGAAGCCUCUUUCUGAUCUCUUGUAUAUGAAAACAACACUUUACAGUUGUUGACUAGUUGUAAGUCUUUGAGAAAUAAGUAAUUAAAUAUUUGAAUGUUGAUUUCAUAUUAUCUUUAGACCAUCAAAUUUAUUUUAUCAAAGGAAAAACAUUAAAUAAUCAGUUAACAUUUUUAGAUAUGAUUUGCAGUUUGCCUACAAAGAUAUUAGAUAGUUCUGUUGCUAAUAUUUCUUUUUUUUAAACUGUGACAUGUUUGGUCAAAUAAAGAUUAUCAUUUAAAUAAUUGAUGAAGAUUAAAAAAUCACACUUAUUUUGCAGUUUCAAGGACCUAAUAAUGGCUGUUAUCAUACCUUCUCUUAUAGAAGAUUUAUAAAUAUAUAAGAAGUGAGAUAGUAAAUUGCACUUCUCCAAAUCAGGAACAAAAUAUUCAUAGUGCUAAAAUUCGCCGCAAUAUAGCCUUUCUGUGCUAAUGCGGCGUAAAGCAAACAACAAUCAAUCAUAGUGCUAAAGCAAAACGAUUUUCACACAAGACAUGUUUAAAUGGUAAAAUGUCUGCUUCUACCUGAAUAACCCAUGGUAGAAAAAACAGAAUAAUAUGCGUUAAUAAAGACAAAAUAUACAUUGCCAUUUGUAUCACACAUGAGAAAAGAUGGAGAGUUCAGUACAUAUAUUUGUAUAUGUUGUAUGUGAAAAUCACUAGAGAUAAUUAGAAGAGGAUUAUCUUUUAUUUUAUGUCAGACUACAUCAAGCAGCUUUGUUCUUAGCUAUUUUAAUAUUAACAUCAGUAAUCAUUACCAUUUGACCUUAUCAUUAAAUGUCAACCCAUUUCAUAGCUGAAAAUUACCCAUUAGAAAAUAUUUGGCACCAGCAGACCAUGUAGAAAAUUUAGAUUAUUAGAAGAGUAGUUUUUAUGGUUGGAACCCAGAGGUUGUCUAGAUUUCUUAUGUAGUUAGAUCCUUUGAAAUUGCUACCUGCACCAAGUGAAGAUUUAGGACAUAUAGUUAAAUUUUUUAUCAGAAAAAAAGUUGAAUAGGUUUGACUUUUCUAAAAUCAGUAAGUUUUGAUAGAGAACUAGCAGUUUUUGGAUUGAUAAACUUGUGAAUAUGAUUUAUUUUGAAAUAAAGGAAGAAAAUGUAAACUUUUAUUAAUAAAUGAAUUUCAAGGGUAAAAUUGUCUAAUCAGCAGUGAGGAAGCAAACAUGUGUAAACUAGAAUUGAAAAAAAUUGUUCAAUGUGGAAGAAAAUAAUAUCGAUUAAACUCUUGCUUUAUUGCGGCUGAGAAAAAACAUGACAGAUGGGAUAACUGGUGAUGAUCGCGCGAUGCUUCCAUGGUUACCUAUGUAAUAUCUGCUGACAAAAAAACUUUAUACUGUAAAUUCAAAAACAUUCUUUCAAAUUCAAUGUUUAUACCCCAACUUUGAAAAAAUAAAAGUAUACUGUAUUACCUAUGUCUAUCUGUCCCUCUGUCACAUGAAUAUUUUUCGUUGCAUCUUUCUCAGGAAAUUUGGUUUCAGGGUUUAUAUAUUAAAGUAAGCUGUAACAUGUGAUGCAUUUUUAGAUUCAUCACUCAACAACAACUUCCUGUUUACAGAACACUUACAUAUUUUAACAUUAUUAAAAUAAUCAAGUUGCGGCUGGGGUAUCAUCAGUGAGCAGUAGCUUACAGUUACACUUGUUUUGUUAGUGAGAAAAUUGUAUGCAGAUAGGUUUUGGCCAAUAAAAUAGUAGUUAAUUAUAUGUUAUAUAAGUUAUGUUUAUACACAGUUUGAUUUCCAUUACACUCAGUAAUCAUUAUUUUAGGAUUUUCCCAGGAUUUUUUUUGUUUUCUCUACUAUUGAGAAGAAACAGAUUUAUUAUCAUAUCUUAAUCAGCUACAUGUGAGUUUAUCAGAUGUUCUUAGCAGGGUGUUUAAUUACAUCAGUUCCAUUACAAAUAUACAUGUUUUGUUAAUUAGUGACCACUUGUGGCAUCUGGCAUUCCUUUAUCCUUUGUUUGUUUGCACAUAAACUUGGGUGUAGUUUAGCUCUGCCCAUUUAGGAAUAUCCCAUUAAGUAUAGUUGUAUAUUGAAAACCAGUACAUGCUGCCGUUAGUGUCCAGUUUUUUUGAAUGCAGAUUUAGCAGUUAAAAGAAUAAUUUUUGCUCAAAAAGUGGCUUAGCUAAAAACUUCUUAAUAUUUCAGUGAUUUGGAUUAAUACUUUACCAAAGCAGGGUAUACAGAUUUUUGAACUAUUUAAUUUUGAUUCAGACUAAAUACACAUUUAUUUUGGAAUAACUAAUAUCAAAAUGUCUUGCAAAUGGAAAGGUGUGUGUAGGAGGAUUAAUAAGGAUUUCUCCUUAUGAGAACCAUUGGACUAUAAUAAUCCAUUAAACUGGAAUAUUACAAGCUGAAAGACAAAAAAGGAAUAAGGACAUCUUAUCAAAUGUCAAAACUAGUGUUAAAGCAAUUUUAUAUAGGAUAGUAAUGAAGCAGUAACAUAUUUUGUAUAUAUUACUUCUAAACUUUUCACUUUUGGAUUAUGAAUUAUCCCUACAAGCUGAGUAUUUAAUGCUGACGAUAUUUGUGUUGUGCAUAAUUUGACAUUUUAAUGUUAUCUGAAUUUUGAACGACCAAUAUAAACUGCGACUUUAUUAGAGAGUGAAUUAUAUUUGAUAUUAGCCAAUUUUAACAGCAUCAGAUCCAUAUCAUCAUUUUGUUGUGACCAUGCAGAGAUAUUUCCAUCCAUGCUUAUGAACUGGAUUUACCUACAAAUGUUCUAGACAAGUAUCUUUUUACUACAUGUACAAUUGGGUGAGCAACCCAAACAGAGAUAAUAGGUUUAUGUGACAAUAAAUGGAUUCAACAGCAAAACUGUGUACACAUACAUCACCAACAUACAAAUCUGACUAAAAACUCAAACAUUUACAUACAAAUAAAUCUACAUAGUUGCCAACAAGAAUUUUUUUUCUUUUUUUUUUCUUCUGUAGUUGAUAGUAAAUUUGACAAAGACAGCAACAAAAAGUUUUUGUAGUUGAUAGUACAUACAUCAUAUAAGUUUACACUUUCUCAAUAAAGUACAAAUCAAGUAAAAUAUAAAGACAACUGUAUCAAGUGAAAACAACUCUUUAAAAACCUCUUGCAUCAUAAUUGCACCUCUUGACCCACCUGCAACAGGAACCGCUAAAAUCUGGAUAGCUGAUGAACAAAUACUGAGUCACGUCUGUCAUGAGUCAUACUACCAAAGGAACAUAAUAUCACAAAGACUAAUAAAGGAAAAACUUUAAAGUAAUUAAAAGAUACACAACUUCAGUACCUAUAGAAGCUAUAACUCAAGACCAUCUUGUAUUAUUUGUGAAGUAGACACUGAAUAUUUAUUCACUGGUAUUCACAUAAGCUAACUUGGUUAUUGACAAUAGCAUAUAUAUGUCAGAUAUUGUAUUCAUUUCUUCAUCUUCAUGUGAUAAUUUUGAUUAUUCUUUAGUAUAAUAUCUAUAUUUUAUAACAUAGACUCCACUUACUACCAAAUUAAUUUCAUGAUCUAUUUACCAUAUAUUUCCUUGCAUUAUGUACAAAGAGAAACAAUUAUGUUGUUAUAGUUAUACGGCAUCUCCAUAAUAUAAGUCAAUCGAAAUUGUGUUGGUAAAUGGAACAUUUAGAUUGAUUGAUUGAUUUGUGGUUGCUUUACGCCGCCUAAGCACAUGUGAACAUAUAAGUAUAAACAUUUUUUCUAAAUGUUAAUUAAAUCGUUACUUUGCUAGCUUUACAGAUAGAUACUUACAUCACAAACAAUUUUAUAUUUUAUAACAGCAUUUGAAAUAUUGUGAAAAAUGACACUUUCUUCAUUUCUUUUAUUUGCAUAUUUAUACACUGAGGGAAACAAGACGUUGCACCUCCUGUAUGCACAUUGGGAACAUCAGAUGGACAAUCACAAGCAUUGGACUACUAGUUUGACAUGCUUCUUUUUCUGCAUAGCUAUGGCAACAGAUCGACUAUAUUAUUUAAUGCUAGUUGGAUCAACACCUCCACAGACUUAAUUGCUGCUCAGUCAUAUAUACAUUAUAUACUUGAACAUUGAUGGUAUUCAUAUCAUGUUAUAAACUGUUCUAUACUCUUGGAUAAAUGACAGAGAAUUCAGUACCAAGCAGUUCAGAUCUCCAUGGUACAUGCCCAAGAGACUUUAAUGUUAAAUCUCAGUGCUCUAGAUGUUUUACUGUUGUGUAAUGGGAUAUUUUAAACCUGGACUAAUUAAACUAGAUUAACUAAAUUUGGAACAAAGGGACUAAUACUUAUAGUUGUGGAUUCAACUUCAUCUGUAGUAAAUGCAUAAUGUUCAGCAACUAGUCAUAUUAAUCAGAGUUCAUGUUCCCAUAUUUUGAACAGGACACAUUAUCCAUAUUCAACCAUACAAACAUUAGAUACUAGAGCCUCCUCAUUUCAACAUGCAUCUCUGGACAGAUUUCACAAACCAGACCCUAAGUGUAGCACAACUUUCAAUGAGGUGCCCAUGCAGCUCAGAUGUAAUGUGGUCCUAAAUCAGCAGUUGAUGAUCUUUGGAACAGUAAGUUAAACAUGCUAAUACUACAGGAACUGUUUAUGAGACUGGGUUCAGAAGUUUGAGACCUUUAUGUUAGUUAAUGGAUUAUAAUUACUUGUUUACCUGCUGUUUCUGAGGAUUUUAUAAUAUUGCUUUAAAUUCUGAGUUUACUAUACUCUACCAUUAAUUUGUAUUUAUAUAGAAUAAGGUAAAGGUAUCUGCAAGGUAAUGAAAAUUAUCCUUUGCUUUCAGAAAGUAUUGAAUACACCGUAAUUAAGCUUGAACAUGUUUUAAAUUCUGUAAAUAUGCUGCAAAAACCAAGAUAUAUCAGAUUACCAUAUUUUUGAUUUUAGAGAAAAUAGUUAUUGUCUGCAAAAAGUGUUUUUUUUUCUUCAAGUUUACUGAUUUGAUGAUAAAAACUGCAUGCUUUGUAGCUUUUAUGGAUUUGUUUUUUAUAUAGAUGUGGCAAGUUUACAUUUUCAAGGCCUCAUAUACAUUUGAUCCAGCUGUAAAUCUAUGUAUUAUAGAUGCUGCAUUUUACUCCUACUUAAUUUUUUUUAAUAGUUUUUAAAUUUAAAAAAUAUCAAAACUGUUCUAUUUAGAAAGGACAUAGGCAUUCAGCUACAUAAAUUAUGGCUUAAUUAAAUUAAUACUUAUCUGCCUAUACAAGAUUUUAUUAGAAUUCAUACAGUAAUGUAGGAAUUUACUCCUAUCCAUCCAACUGACCCACUUUUCUUAACCAUUGAUAAGAAAUUUUAGAAAGACAAUAUGUACUUAUAUGUUACUCAGAUAAUAGCUUUAGAAUAGGGACAGCUUCUAGAGCUGGAAAGACAAAUACAAGAUCAAGCUGGUCUUCAGAUAUUUACAGUAGAUGUAUUUAGUAACACCAGUAUCUAUAAAAUCUUUUCAAAGUAGGUUAGCUAGCUUUAAGAAAAUGUUAUUUCUCAAGUUUUUCAUAUAUAUUAAAAUAAGAAGAAAUAUGCAUGAAUGUUUUCAAAGUAGAUUCAGUAUUGUUCUGUGACUAAAGUUUGUUUUUUAUGUGUUAUCAUUAUGUGAUUAUUCUUAGCUUUUCUUUUAUGUUUUGUGUGUAUUUUAUUUUAUUUUUUUUUCUCAUGGCUUUAUUGAAGGUAUCCCCUCCCUUACAUCACAAAUCCUUGGGGACACUCAGCUGUUACCAUCUGUGUUAUGGACAUUUAUGAAAUUUUAUCACUGGUUGUUUCAAAAAUUUCACUCAUUCCCCAAGAAUUUCUGGGGAUAAACUGUCAAAUUUCAUACAAAUUCAUUCCAACACCAAUUCAACAUCAACACUACUUGGCUUCCUCAUAGCCACAUACUAGGCUUCCUCAUAGCAUCAUUAUAGGCUUCCUCAUAGCAUCAUUAUAGGCUUCCUCAUAGCCUCAUAGGCUUCCUCAGACAUAGCCUCAUAGGCUUCCUGAUAGCCUCAUAUGCUUCCUGAUAGCCUCACGCAUUUAUUUGGAUUGGUGUGAUGUCAAGCCAGGGGUCAUUACUUUGCUACUUUUCAGUACGCACAUAGGCUCUUGGCUUAGGCAUGGAGCAAAAUUUUUAAUUUUAGCUGAGUAGAUUCCCCAAGGGCCAAACUUAAGUGAUGAAUAUAGAAUAAUAAAAGUUAUAGUUCAUUUAUGAUUUAUGUUUCAUUCAAACCUGGAUACAACUGGCACUGCUACGCAAUACAUGUAUUUACACAGAAAUUUAUUUACAAUGGGAUAGAGCAGGAUUUUGAAUUAUGUUGAUUAUAUUGUUGAUAUAAGUACUAUUAAUGCUUAAUUUUACAUAUCAUGAGUUCAAAUGGAGAGUUCUGAAGCAAAUCAGGAUAAUUAAAAUGUUGCUUAAAUUAAUUGUCUUAAGAACUCAUUUUAUUGAACCUAUAUGCUGAGAGUACCAUGAGAUGCGCACGCAGAUCGUAGAGGUCACUAGCGUAUUUGGUCUUAUGAGGUCAAGUCAUGGAAUUUAUCCCUCUUAUGUUAUUUGAAAAUAAUGGAUAUCUUAAUUGUUUUUAACUGGAAAUUAAUAUAUUUGUGACAUUUGGAAUACAAACUUUACGAUUUGAUAUAGUUUUUUGAUGGAUUAAUAUUCUAACGAUGUAGCUUGUGAUGGAUAAUUUGUCACGUUGUCAGCAUACAUUUGUUAAUGACAUGGCUGAACAUUCGAGCAUUGACUCGGUAUCGGAACUUUCUGGCACGGCCAAGACUAGUUCAAAAAGUGACAAUAUUUUUAGCAUUAUGAAUGACCACAGGCAACUUAUUUCGCCAGGUUAUGAUAACAAUAUUAGUGGAUUUCAAGCAAGCAUUGAAAACAUUAAUGUAGGAGGAGGAGCCAUGAGCAAUGCUCCUGUCACUCACACUCCGGAAGUAGUCACACCGGAUAUCUACAAUAUGCUACUGCAAAAUCAAUUGUAUAUCCAAACUUUGAUGAAAAAUCAGAAUUCAAGAACUGAUACUACACAAAGUUCCACAAAGGUAAAUCCUAGACAAUCGGCAACAAUGGCCGGACCAAGAAAGGUCGUGAAAAAUAAACCCACAAAGGAUGAUUACCAAUCGCAACUGGACAGUUUGUUUGAUAAUGAUAUGAACAAUAACCAAACUAAAAACAUAUCUGCACCGUCUGAAUUAUAUUCAGAUAUUUCUAGUGACGAAAGUUACGAUAGCGAUGAUGAAGCAUGUUCUGAGAAUGAAGUAGAUAUAAUGAUAUUGAAAAGGCAGAAAAUGAAAAUGUCUUAGAAUCCAUGAAAGCCUUCAUUAGUUCAGAUGAAAAGACAGGUCCAAAAAUUAAUUCUGGUUUAGCCUCAUACAUGAACCAGGGACUGAGGACACGAGUCAAUGAAGAAAAAUACAAAGAUCUCACAAAGAAAUAUGAUAAGCCUGCUAAUGUGAGCAGUCUAAAAGUCCCACGAGUCAACAUAGGUAUUUGGAAACAAAUGACACCACGGAAUAAAGAUGUGGAUGUAAAAUUACAACGUUUACAGAAUCUUUUGUCUAAAACAGCUUGCCCAUUGAUGUAUAUGAUGGAUAUGUUUGUGGAUAAAUCUUCAAAGAAAGAAGGAAUGUCUAGAGAGGAACUGCAAGCAUAUGCAGUUACGUGCAGAGAUACGUACCAGCUAUUUCAAGCUUGUUAUAGCGAAAUAACCUUCAGACGAAGGAGUUUCAUUAAGGGGGACAUUCAACCCCAGUAUAAAGGUCUGUGUGAUGAUACCACACCAGUCACUGACAUGCUGUUUGGGGACGAUAUUAAGGAAAAAAUCAAAGAGCUAGAUGCGGAGCAUAGUGUGUGUAAAAAAGUUGGGAAGGACCAUAAUUAUACGUAUGAUAAUCCCAAGAACUCAUAUCAGUCUUCUAACAGGGGACGUAGCCAUCAUGGCCAUGGAGGGCGUGGAUUUCCUCAUAAAUUUGGGAAAAGAAAACGCCACAUUGAUGGAGGAAAACCAAUCAAAAGAAUAAGGAAAUAUGAUGAUGAUGGUUUUUUAGACCGCAGCAAGACAUUAAACAAGAAGAUAAACAAAGACAAAAAGUAGAUCAUGUUAUUUCUGAUAGUGAUGUAAGUACAAAUGAUCACUUGAUUGACUUAACUGCUAUAAAACUUCAAAAUAUUCCUAAUAAUUUUAUUGGGGGGAAAAUUUCAAAGUUUUUUCAUCGAUGGAAGGAAUUAACAUCUGACUAUUGGAUCUUAAAUAUUAUUAAAGGUUAUCAGUUAGAAUUUGAAAACAUUCCUACACAGCUUAUAAAGCCAUACCCACUUGUAUUCAGCAGUGAAGAAAAUGAAUAUGUACAAAAAGAAAUAGAUAAGUUUAUUUCAAAAACAAUUAUUCAACCUGUUACUCCAAUUAAGGAUCAGUAUGUUUCAAAUAUUUUUGUGAGACCCAAGAAAGAUGGCACUUAUCGAGUAAUUUUAAAUUUAAAACAGUUAAAUCUUGAUAUUGAACAAAUUCACUUUAAGAUGGAAACU